rnacentral:rRNA from 1 species
CCGAAAGGCGUAGUCGAUGGGAAACAGGUUAAUAUUCCUGUACUUGGUGUUACUGCGAAGGGGGGACGGAGAAGGCUAUGUUGGCCGGGCGACGGUUGUCCCGGUUUAAGCGUGUAGGCUGGUUUUCCAGGCAAAUCCGGAAAACUAAGGCUGAGGCGUGAUGACGAGGCACUACGGUGCUGAAGCAACAAAUGCCCUGCUUCCAGGAAAAGCCUCUAAGCAUCAGGUAACAUCAAAUCGUACCCCAAACCGACACAGGUGGUCAGGUAGAGAAUACCAAGGCGCUUGAGAGAACUCGGGUGAAGGAACUAGGCAAAAUGGUGCCGUAACUUCGGGAGAAGGCACGCUGAUAUGUAGGUGAAGCGACUUGCUCGUGGAGCUGAAAUCAGUCGAAGAUACCAGCUGGCUGCAACUGUUUAUUAAAAACACAGCACUGUGCAAACACGAAAGUGGACGUAUACGGUGUGACGCCUGCCCGGUGCCGGAAGGUUAAUUGAUGGGGUCAGCGCAAGCGAAGCUCUUGAUCGAAGCCCCGGUAAACGGCGGCCGUAACUAUAACGGUCCUAAGGUAGCGAAAUUCCUUGUCGGGUAAGUUCCGACCUGCACGAAUGGCGUAAUGAUGGCCAGGCUGUCUCCACCCGAGACUCAGUGAAAUUGAACUCGCUGUGAAGAUGCAGUGUACCCGCGGCAAGACGGAAAGACCCCGUGAACCUUUACUAUAGCUUGACACUGAACAUUGAGCCUUGAUGUGUAGGAUAGGUGGGAGGCUUUGAAGUGUGGACGCCAGUCUGCAUGGAGCCGACCUUGAAAUACCACCCUUUAAUGUUUGAUGUUCUAACGUUGACCCGUGAUCCGGGUUGCGGACAGUGUCUGGUGGGUAGUUUGACUGGGGCGGUCUCCUCCUAAAGAGUAACGGAGGAGCACGAAGGUUGGCUAAUCCUGGUCGGACAUCAGGAGGUUAGUGCAAUGGCAUAAGCCAGCUUGACUGCGAGCGUGACGGCGCGAGCAGGUGCGAAAGCAGGUCAUAGUGAUCCGGUGGUUCUGAAUGGAAGGGCCAUCGCUCAACGGAUAAAAGGUACUCCGGGGAUAACAGGCUGAUACCGCCCAAGAGUUCAUAUCGACGGCGGUGUUUGGCACCUCGAUGUCGGCUCAUCACAUCCUGGGGCUGAAGUAGGUCCCAAGGGUAUGGCUGUUCGCCAUUUAAAGUGGUACGCGAGCUGGGUUUAGAACGUCGUGAGACAGUUCGGUCCCUAUCUGCCGUGGGCGCUGGAGAACUGAGGGGGGCUGCUCCUAGUACGAGAGGACCGGAGUGGACGCAUCACUGGUGUUCGGGUUGUCAUGCCAAUGGCACUGCCCGGUAGCUAAAUGCGGAAGAGAUAAGUGCUGAAAGCAUCUAAGCACGAAACUUGCCCCGAGAUGAGUUCUCCCUGACUCCUUGAGAGUCCUGAAGGAACGUUGAAGACGACGACGUUGAUAGGCCGGGUGUGUAAGCGCAGCGAUGCGUUGAGCUAACCGGUACUAAUGAACCGUGAGGCUUAACCUUACAACGCCGAAG